rnacentral:rRNA from 1 species
UACGUAGGUGGCAAGCGUUGUCCGGAAUUAUUGGGCGUAAAGCGCGCGCAGGCGGCCUUUUAAGUCUGAUGUGAAAGCCCCCGGCUCAACCGGGGAGGGUCAUUGGAAACUGGAAGGCUUGAGUGCAGAAGAGAAGAGCGGAAUUCCACGUGUAGCGGUGAAAUGCGUAGAGAUGUGGAGGAACACCAGUGGCGAAGGCGGCUCUUUGGUCUGUAACUGACGCUGAGGCGCGAAAGCGUGGGGAGCGAACAGGAUUAGAAACCCCAGUAGU